GAUGAACGCUGGCGGCGUGCCUAAUACAUGCAAGUCGAGCGAACAGAUGAGGAGCUUGCUCCUCUGACGUUAGCGGCGGACGGGUGAGUAACACGUGGAUAACCUACCUAUAAGACUGGGAUAACUUCGGGAAACCGGAGCUAAUACCGGAUAAUAUAUUGAACCGCAUGGUUCAAUAGUGAAAGACGGUUUUGCUGUCACUUAUAGAUGGAUCCGCGCCGCAUUAGCUAGUUGGUAAGGUAACGGCUUACCAAGGCAACGAUGCGUAGCCGACCUGAGAGGGUGUUCGGCCACACUGGAACUGAGAGACGGUCCAGACUCCUACGGGAGGCAGCAGUAGGGAAUCUUCCGCAAUGGGCGAAAGCCUGACGGAGCAACGCCGCGUGAGUGAUGAAGGUCUUCGGAUCGUAAAACUCUGUUAUUAGGGAAGAACAAAUGUGUAAGUAACUAUGCACGUCUUGACGGUACCUAAUCAGAAAGCCACGGCUAACUACGUG
rnacentral:rRNA from 1 species